rnacentral:lncRNA from 1 species
CUUUUGUUUCUCCUCACGGUUGCUGGGCCGUCGCCGCCGUCGCCGCUUUACCCUGGUCCCGCAGUCCCCGCUGUCGUUGUUGAGGACUCCUCCUGGUUCUUCUUUUUCUUUCCUUCUUCCUCCUCUUCCUCCUCUGCUGUCGCCGCUGCUGCCGCCGCCGCCGCCGCCACCGCCUCCCGGUGCCCGGGUCCCGCAGCCGCGGCUGAGUCCUUCUCCUCAG